GUAAUUUGUUAUUUUCAAUUCAACUGUCUUAAUUCGUUUACUUCAUGAAAGUUUCCACUGUAAACAUGGUAUAUAGUGCUUAUUAUUUUUAUCUGCUUUUUUGAAUUUCUAAUUCACUAAAUCGACGAAGAAAUAAAUCUGUUUGAAUUAGACAUUUACUUUAUUGUCAUAAUCAGUGACAUCAAGUUCUACGAUUUAAAGAAAUGUGUUCAGGUCAUUUAUGGAAAUGUGUAGAAUAAUUUGUGUUAACAAGUGACCCUCUAAUCAGUCCUUGAUCUUACAGAUUUGUGAUAACAGCAGCUCGUGUAGUUUUUGAAGGAAACGUGCUUUUGUGUUAUUUAUAAUUAUUUUCAACGUUUUCAAAUGAGAUUUGAAAAAUGUUCGGUACAAAUAUCAAAUCACUAAAAGUUAAUAAACCAGAACGAGAAACAAUUCAUUCUGGACAUUUUAUGGUGUCGCACUUCGAAGCUGAAGAGCAAGAUGAUGAAGAUGAGGUAGCUGUGCCAGUGCCAGAAGAAAAUUCAAACACAACUACUAUAGUCCCUGUAAAGCAAUUUUCUACUGGAGUGAAAGAUGUUUUGAAAAACACAACACAACAACAUUUGGAAAUAGAUACCAGUUUAUCAAAACUAUUUCAAUGUAUGACACUAGCAUACAGACAAAAAUUGACAUCACCUAAGUGGAAUAGGUUUAGAGGUAUAAGACUGCGGUGGAAGGAGAAAAUUAGAUUAAAUAACGUAAUAUGGAGAUGCUGGCAUCUUCAAUUUAUAAAAAACUGGCAAAUCAACAUUUGCCAGUUUGCUUCUCCUUUGGAUGUAGACACCCACAGCAAGCCAGAGGCAAUUGUAUUGGAAGGGAAAUAUUGGAAAAGGAAAUUGCAUGCAGUGACUGCGGAAUACAAAAAAUGGCGAAUGUUCCACAGACAUCACUCUUCAUCGCAUCAAAAAGACUCCCAAGACACGAUAAUGAACGAAGUUGGUCUUUGGGACUCUCAAAGCAACGAAAGUGUACAUAUGCUUGUGGAUGAAGACUAUAUGGAUCUCAUGAGUGACACCUUAUUUUCAACUAUUACAAAUCAGCCUUUCCAUUUUCCGGAUUCUAGGGAAAUUGCUAAGGCUGGAUUGGCUGAUUUCAUUCAACCAAGCUUGGGACCUUUACAACCAAACCUUGAUGACUAUAUGGAUACUUUUGAGCAAGAACUAAUGUUAUCAAAGCUGCCUACUGUACCUGAAGAACAACAUGAAUCGAUAUACAAAUCUCCUGUUGGAUGGCCAUAUUCUGAAUUGGAUUUGAUUACGUCUAAUACUACAAUCUCAGGAUCCAGCUCAUCUCAAGCUCAAUAUAGCCAAACGAUACAAUCAGUUCCUGUUGAAAAAACACAAAUGUUAACUCCACAAACAAUACAGUCAUCCAAUUUUAAUCAAGUGCUGUUGCCAAUAGAGAGUACCUAUUCCCAAAGACAACCGCCACCAGCUCCUCCUCCUACAUAUCAAACUGAUGUUAUCUCAAGAACCAAAUCUUCGGAGCGUUCCAACAAAUUUGUUGAGAAUCAGAUUAUGCAGAAUAAUACGAUUUAUAGAAAUUUUUCAGACCCACCUCGAAAUAUACCUUUAGGAAUUUGUGAAGAUAUAACAACAACGAAAAAUCCUCAACAAUCUCAACCAUCACUGAGCACCAUGAGUGAAGCCUCUCAGUUCAAGUUACCACAAGCAGCUGCAGAUCUAAGACCUGUUUCUAAUCAAGGUUACAAAUUUUCUCAGCCUCUGGCUAGACCCAACAUCAAAUUUACAACACCAGUUUCCCAGGUACACAACACCACAAUGCACUAUCCCUCAGUGCAAUCUCAAAAUUAUAACACUUAUUCUCCUACCUAUAAAGUAAAAGAUGAGAAUAACCAUCAUUCAAGAAGUAGUGGACCUUCAAGAACCAAACAUCGCUCAAGAUCUUCUACAAGAGAACCUAUCAAAAGGCCACCUCUCUUAUCGGCAGUCAGUGAUCCAGCGUUACUGACCCCAACAAACAGUGUCUUACUAACUCAGUUGCUAACAAACAAUUCUAAUGAAGAAACGGUGGCUCCACAAAACAGCAGUGUUCUUUUGACACAACUGUUAACAAAUAAUGCAUCUGAAAAUUCUAAUCUGUAUAGACAGAGCCAAAGUCCUGUACAGAAUAGUGCAAUUAGAAUAAAGGAAGAAAGUGGUUUGACCACAUAUUUGACUGAUACACCAGCAACUACACUUAUCAUAACGUCUCCUGUCACCUUCAAUUCUGUGCCAUCACCCUCAACAGAUCAUUCGAUGCUGAACUCCUUCAGUAGCUCAAAUAGCCCAACCUUGGACCAUGCAGCACAGUGCUUAAAUUCUCCAACAUCAUCGCAGGGUUCUAUUGGGUCUCCAAUACAAGAUUCCGGAUCAAGAGAUCAACGUAGAGUAGGCCAUAUUCAUGCUGAGCAAAAGAGAAGGUACAACAUUAAGAAUGGUUUCGAUGUAAUCUACUCUCUGAUUCCCCACCUUAAUCAGAAUCCAAAUGCCAGGUUAAGUAAAGCAGCUAUGUUACAAAAAGGUGCUGAAUAUAUCAGGCAAUUGAGACAAGAAAGGGAACAGCUGAAAGAAGAAAUGAGCAAUUUGAGGCAGCAAAUAGAAAGCUUGAAUACUUCAAUCAGCAAUUGUCAGUCUAUGCUGCCCACGAAUAUAGCACCAAUCAAUAUAAGAAGAGAUGGUAAAAUGCAAGAAUUGUUUGAUGAGUAUGUGAGAAAUAGGACUGUUGAAAACUGGAAGUACUGGAUCUCUGAUAUUCAGGCCCCUUCUAGUGUCAUUCAAUAACGUAGUAUCUACGUCUAGUAUGGAGGAUUUAUAUAGGUCCACAAUCCUAUGGGUAGAGCAGCAUUGCACUCUAGGAGAUCUCAGGCCAGUUGUCUUAAACUCUUUGAGAUACCUGUGCACAAAAACUGAAAUUCUCUCUGAACCAGAAAGACUUCCUGACGAGGCGAGACAGUUAUGUUUGUCAUCAAGUAAUAAUCCUUCGUAGCAUAUGUUCUCCGACAAGAAAAUCAGCAGAUACUUACAGAUCCAAUGAUUAUUUCCUAUUUGAAGUUAUCAGAGGUAUGUUUAGUGUGGUUUUUUUCUUCAUUUAAGUCAAAAGUACGAAUAUCGCAGCAGUUUAAUAGCAGAUAACACCAUGAUGCAAUAAUGAUAACUAUUAUUCCUGAAGGAUAGUUACAAACCGAAUCGCGUAUGCGUCGAGGGAGUAACAUUGUGAGGUGAUAAAUGUCAUUAUUCUACUCUACGACUAAUAUAUUAGUCUAAGAUUUUUAGUGAAUACUUUUAUUAGUUUGAAUUCUUUAGAUGAUGUGGUUCAUUGAAGUUUGCAUAUUUUUUUAUUAUAAAUUUCGAUAUUUUUGAUAUCAGGGUAAAUGUUGCUAUAUCUAGUUGAACAAUUUUUACAGUGUAUUUUUCAUCCAUCUCAAAACAAAUACCUAAACACUUCUUACUGUUGAAUUAGUUCUUUUCAAUGGUAUUAUCAAUCUGAGAGAAUUUGUGAUUGAGCAAAAAGAGAGAACUUCUAAUUACUCGUCAUUUCCCCCCUAAGGAAAACUUAUAUAUGCAUUAAAGAGCAAAACUCCAAUUAUAACUUACAUUAUAUGUUUGUCGUAGAUAAAGAAAAUGAUACAUUUCAUUAAAACUCAGUGUCAUUCAGAUUAUUCAAUGGAAGCACGAGAGAAAAAUCACAUUAAACAUAAUGGUAAAAUAGAUUUAUUACAAUUAACUGUCACUGAAUAAAUUAGUUUCAGUUCUUUUUCAUCAUAUCAGAAUCGAAAGUUGAUGAAACAAAUAGGAAUAUUCUUGUUUAUUUUCUUUUGAACAUUACUGAUUUUAUGGAUUGUCGGAGAGACUGUAUAUUUCUUAUUCUAGGAAUGGAUUUUUAAAGAAUAUAUAACAUAUAUUUUUUCGCACAUAUUGAAUUUAUAUCUACUAUAGGUAUAUGAAAUUUGGGAAUAUUAUGAAACUUUGAGUUUGAAAGCAAUGAUACACAUUUUUCAUUUUUUCAAUAUUCUUUGAAAUGAAUUGGAUGUGAAAAUUUGCAUAAAUGAAGAAUGUAUAUGUUUCUCUUGUUUUUAGAUUAUUUUUUUAAUGGAGCAGUUGAAUAUGCAACAGCUAUAGUAUAGUUAUGCUAUAGGUAUUCAAUAUAUUUUUUUUGUAAAUAAUGUAUACUCUUUUGUGCCAUGUAUGUAAGAAAGAUUAACCUUCAUAAAUUUAUUGGGCCGUAGUGAAUCUUAUAUAUUAUAGUUUUUCAUAAUAUAGUUAUUACUUUUUCACACAAAAAAGUAAGCGAUUUUUUCUAGUGAUUUUGUAUCGAUGUAACAUAAACAUUAUUACUAAACAAAAUUUCAAUUUCAUAACUUGUCUUAUACAUGAUAUAUUCAAAAUACUUAGUUGAAUUCAACUUUAGAUCAGGAGGCAGUGUUGCAAACAAGGCAGUUAAUAAACAGGCAAAUUUUUUAUUGAUCAAAUAAUUAGCGAAUCUAUCGUCAACAACAUAAGUAUCUGUGAAUAUGGAAAGCUGUAAAAGUGCUUGGAAUGAUUUAUUCGAUGAUAAUAUGGCGACUGAAUUCUUUUUAUGAAAUCAUUGUCAAGCAGCUUUUAAGAAAUUUUCAUCAGCUGCAAGAGGAAGAAGAAAUAUGUCAGCUACUCGCUUAAACUAACCAACAAAAAAAUGGAACGAAUAAUUUUACUAUGAAAUUCAUGUUUGUGAUUUUCCAGUCUAUUGAAAAUACGCAAGCAACUAUCUGUUGAAUAUAAUUUUGACUUGCUUCCUUUUUAUUUUUCUUCGACCUUCAAUUGUUUUGGCAAUCUCAAUCGGUUAAUGUGCCUAUGCCAUAUCAGUUCUGUGUCAUUUAAUAAUUUGAUCUCAUCUACUCUUACAGUUAUUAACUUAUAUUGUUGCUAAAUAAACGUUACUGAUGAGUUCUAAGAAGAGCAAAAUCGGUCUAUCACUACCUACAUACCUCCGAUUUAUCGUGGUUAUCUAUUGAUCUAGACUUUUGCUAGUUCAAUUUGGUUUGUUAUUCACCUUCGUUUGCUCUCUGUCAGAGCAUUAAUUUUUCUUCUUUAGAAUUAGAUUAACUAUAUUUUUACUAUUCUAAACACAAUUAGUGUCGCUUUUCGCAAGUUCAGCAGUUCCUCUACGACUUUAACUGAAAAGUUUGAUUUAUAUUUAUUUGAAGAAGUUUCAGCUUGCAUAAUAUUCAUUUAAAUUCUCCAACCGUUUGCUAAAUCCAAAUCCAGAGCCUAUGCGCCAGCUGAUGAUUGAAUCACUAAUACUAUCUAUCAGAAAAAAUAAGGAUUAAUAUAAAAUCUCUCUAGUAUGUUACACUGUCUCCAUCACUAGUAGAAAAUUCCUGAUGACCAAAUAAAUGAGGUAGUUAUAUUUUGUUAAUCAUAUAUGUUAUACCACGUAUUGUGCAAAAAGUGUAAAAAUGUAAACUAGUAAUAGUGCCUUGGAAAUGUGUGAUACCAGUACAGAUUUCUAGAAAUAUGGCAUAUUUGUUGAAAUUGAGAUGACUAUAUACAAUAAAGUCAUCAAUGUUUUUUAGAAAGGAGGUAUCCAGAUCUCUUUUAUAUUUGCAAUUAUUGAAAUCGAUAAUUGAUGUUAAGAAUUAAAUGGUUUUCUUUGUUAUAUCGUUCAGAUUGUUAAGAAGAAAUUACUUCCUAAAAUCAACUGAGAUCAUCUUUCAUUCAAGCGAUUCAAAUCGAAUCUCUAGAGGAUAUCUUAUAGGGUUUUGAGCUUAUUAGGAGUUUAAUUAAUAUAGGAAAAACUGCACAGAUUCUUUUUCACCGAUCGAUUUCAAUAAUUUGAAUAUUAUUCGAAAAACUAUCAGAAAUUUUCGCUUUUGCAAUAUAUUUAUGACGAAUACUUCUCAUUUUUAGAAAUCAUGUAUUGAUUUUUUUUUUGAUUCAAUUAUUUUGUUACUGUACUUAUAAGACGAAUAAUUUCAUGUUAUUUUAUAAUCGUUGUUUAUUGUAAUAAUUUGUCAAAUUCAUAUCGCAUUAAAAAAAUUUUGUUUUUA